UCGUUCGAUUCGUGGUGUAGUUAUCGUAUGUAACAGACUUAGUUGGCCGGUUCACGGGAGAUCUGAUCGGAAACCAGUGACGUGUGGUACACGUGUUAUAUUAUAAUAACGCAGUGCAAGUGUUUCUCUAUUUGGCCCUGCCGCCUGUGUUCCGACAGGAGACCGUGUCGCUCGCUGACCACUGCCGGUUCAUCGUGUACACGUCGUUAUAUGGUGGUGGUGGUGGUGGUGGUUGAGCAGCCGGUGGAGGAGGGCGGGUGCGGGGCCCAGGGCGAUGUGGCUAGCAAGUGGGAAAACUCGAGGAGGUGAUAACGACUUCUGACCUUCCGUGAGAGUGCGUACCGCGGCGUAGAGGGCGCCGCCGUCGAUUGUCAAGCGAAAAGGCUCACCAUUCGGAAGAAAACGAGGAGGAAAAGGCGAAAAAAGAAGA